GAUGAAGAACGUAGCGAAAUGCGAUAAGUAGUGUGAAUUGCAGAAUUCAGUGAAUCAUCGAAUCUUUGAACGCUCAUUGCGCCCCAUGGUAUUCCGUGGGGCAUGCCUGUUCGAGCGUCAUUUACCCCCUCAAGCUCCGCUUGGUGUUGGGCGUCUGUCCCGCUUCGCGCGCGGACUCGCCCCAAAGGUAUUGGCAGCGGUCGUGCCAGCUUCUCGCGCAGCACAUUGCGCUUCUCGAGGCACCGGUGGGCCCGCGUCCAUCAAGCUCACCCCCCCAGUUUGACCUCGGAUCAGGUAGGGAUACCCGCUGAACUUAAGCAUAUCAAUAAGCGGAGGA
rnacentral:misc_RNA from 1 species